UGGUAGUCCCGGUAAAGCUCCUCUUGGUGGUACGGGAGACAGCCUUUACCAGAACGUAUCUGGAACUUCAGGAGAUCCCAAACAAAAUGGUCCCCCUAAUGCAGAGGCUGAAGGAAAUGUGAUGUAUGAAAACAUGCCAUUCCAUCGACAAGGGCCCUACAAACCGGACAGCAGUGAUGAAAUGGUAUAUGCGGACUUGUAUGAUGAUGUAAAAGCGGGAAAAAUCCCGGAUCCUAGGAUGAAGCCCCCUUUGCCUCCCAAAGGCAUCGGAAAGAAACCAAAGGAGCCUCCCCUGCCCCCCAAGACCAAAAAGGGUGGGUUCUUGGAUUCCAUCGGCAUCUGAGACAGAAACAGAUACUCGGAAAGUUCAAAGUGGCCCUUCUUAAAGCUCAGGAAGGAUGGAAAGUAUCGGAACUGGAAUUUUUAUGUUUUUGUUUGUUUUCAAGAAGAAUGCGAAAAGGAAAGACUGUGUUACAAAUUGGAAUCUGCAAAUGGCAAAAUGUAACGUAGAUUCAGCAAAGAAACUGCUAUGGGCGAUUUGGUUUAAAAAUCUUGUCUAUGUAUCUGAAUAUUUUUUCUGUUACUGUAUUUUUUGUCAUAUUUUUUAAAGCCAAAGAGUUUCGCAUUCCAUUUACCAGAGUCGUUUUCUCUUGAGAAACCGUGGCGUGUUUUCAUCGUCAGUACUUACACCUUAAAUACCAAAAUUUGAAACCUAUUUAAGUUUUACACGAAAAGGCUACUGAUUUUAGCAUGCAGAUUGGAACUGAUUUUAGACAAAUAUAAUCAAAGGUAGGGUAACUGUGUCCUUUUACAAAAUAUAGAAACAUAUUUAAUGCUGACUACAUAUAAGAAUACUGGAGAGGUUGUAAAUGAUUUAAAACGAAGCAUUGAAAUUUUCGAUAGUACAGUGAAAUUUGGCCAUUCAAAUUUUCUUUGCAGAUUUAUUUGUACUUCAAAAACACGAUCUACGGAAAGAAAAUGCAGCUUUGAAUUUGGCCAUUAUGGACUCACUUGUUGGAAGCUGAGCUUCUACAAGCAUAAGGCAUGUAUAGGAAUAUCAGUUGCGAUUGACGUCAUGUGACUGGAUAUCACGUGUCAAAAUAUCGCAUGUUUAUAGAUCACAGUGAUGGUAAGCAGGAGAUAAAAACAGUUCCAAAACCCGAUAGAACAGCCGGACUAACGUCCUAUGCUUUGAUUCUAAUAAUUUGCCAACAAUAAUUUUGAUUUGAAAUGCCUUGCAUGUCAAGAUAUUAAAUCUUUUUUAACAUUUUUAAAGAAGCUCGAUUAAGCUCGUUUACUGAAUCUUAAUUGUUUUCAGGAAUCUGCUAAAGAAGAAAUACAUUACUUCUUCUGCCUAUCAUCACAACUUAUUUUGAGCCCCGGAAACGUAGAAGUUUCGAAUUCAAAGCCAUUUUUCAUGAAGUCCUCUUCGAAAACAAAUCUGGAAACUGAUCGCGAAACUUACAAUGAAGCGCUAAACGUUGUUUUGAAUAUGUAAAUUAUUUAUUGUACGUUACUGUGAAAUAUAAUUAAAAGUGUUGUUGUUGAUGACCUGCUAAUAUGCAAGCCACAUCUAUUGCCAAUACUUUUAAGAGGAGCUUAUUAAUUUAGUAUGAAAAAAAAUGUUGUCCGCUGUACAUAUCAAGUAGUAAUAAAUACUCAUCAAGCAAUUCAUACCGACUGGUAACAUUUGAAGGAAGAAUGGAAGGAAUAGUUCACGUGAAGCAACUUCCUGAAAUUGAAUCGUGAGCAAUUCUUACGGCUUUUAAUUUCUGACUCUUCAAUCGCUAGCCAUUUAGUCUUCACAUCCCAAGCAAAAUAACUAUAAGAUUAGCAGAACUGUUCACUUUUCUUUCGGAAAAUCACUAUUUAUAUUUAGCACUGCAAAGGGAAGCUAACAUCUUUGACUGUAUUUAUUAUCAAUCACAUAUUAUAUUCUUUUUAACUAAGCAUGAAAAAUAUGUGUACACAAGAAAAUAUUAAAGAAGAUAAAGGUGAAAAUAAAUGAAUACCCAUCUAAAUAAUGUGGAGUUAUUUGGUACUGAUGAAAAUAAGUGUUAAAUUUUAAAACAAAUACUCUUUAAAAUCAGAUGUGAAAUCAUUACAAAAGGAAAUGAUUUUAACGAGAUUCUUUUGAAAAUUAUUAACGGACUUUCGUACUAAUAGUUUAAAUUAUUAUUAUACUGUAAUCACAUUUCAUUAAAUAAAAAUGAAAUUUUUAAAAGUAAAGUUUCAGCCAUCGUUCGAUUACGAUACUUCAUACGAUACAGACAGAAAUUUACAUUGUCCAGAACGUAUUUUAAUUUCCUUAAAUUGAUUUGAUACGUGUACCGAAGUUAGUAAUAAAGGUGAGGAUGUAUGUAAAUUCGUUAAUUAUUUUACUAUGCCCAGUUUAAGCGUAGCUGAAGUGAGUCAGUUACUUAAAAUUGUAGCUGCAUUAUAAGUAACAUUUUUCCUAACUUAUUUCAAAUCUUGUGCUCAGUUUAAGAAUCUAACUGUCUUAAAACAAGACAACGAAGGCUUACGCUGAAAGUUCUAAAACUUAAAAUGGAACUAACUCCGCCAGAUAUUUUCCAUUGAACAAGGUUAAGCUAAAUUUUCGAGAACCAAUUAAAGAAUCGAAAAAUAUUGUCUGGUAAAAGUUUCCAAAUUGCCGUUUCAAGAAAGGUAUAUAUCAAACCGCUUUUCUGAAUUAAUAAAAUAAUCUCUUUUUAAUAAUUUUUCUUAUUUCAGUUUGCUUGAGAAGAUAAAGUAAAUGAAAUAUUGAAUACCAUUCUAAUAUAUUCAGUAUAUGACGUUCCUCAAUAUCCCUAUUUUAUGAAAUGCUUAAUAUUAUAAGAUAAGCAAUCUAUCCACGCACGACAUUGAAAUCUAUCCACGCAUUUAUUAUACUCGAUUCAAUGCUUAGACGUUCAAGAAAAAGGUAAACUUUGCUUUCUUAAAAAACAAAACUUUACAUUAAUAAUGCAAUUUUUGAAACGUUGCUAUGUACGGAAACAGAUUUUGAGUAUAACACUACACCGCGGAAGUGUUGGCAAGGUCAUAUUGUUUUGCAAUGAUUAUAAAAGAAAUUGGCAUUGAAUUUUAUGCAUUUAGUUAUAUUAACUAAUCAAUGUGAUUUAUCUUUAAAAGAGAGUUUGAAAGCAAAGAGCUACAACUUAAGGAUGUGAAUGAAAUGAAAUUUUAAGACUAUGAAAUGAAAAGAAAAUAAUCCUUACCAAUGCUUAAAGAUUUUAAUCUCAGUUUUCCUGCCUUUAGAAAUCGAUUACCUUAUAUAUAUUUGCUUACUAUUUCACUCUGAAAUUCUGUCAUGUUGCCAUAACAUUAAAUUUCAAAGUACAUGAAAAUGUCUAAUAUCAUAUCAACCCGACAAUUUUUCUAAUUAUAUUAAUAAUUUCUCCUAUAUCUCAUGCAAAGCUUCAGAAGGAUAGUAAAAACAAACUGAAAUGAUACAGUGGCAUUUAUGAACUGAUUUAACCUCAUUAGAUGCUAAAGAUGUAGGAAUUUCGUUGACCAAAAAUAGAAAAUAAUUUUGAUUUGAAAUGCCUUGCAUGUCAAGAUAUUAAAUCUUUUUUAACAUUUUUAAAGAAGCUCGAUUAAGCUCGUUUACUGAAUCUUAAUUGUUUUCAGGAAUCUGCUAAAGAAGAAAUAUAUUACUUCUUCUGCCUAUCAUCACAACUUAUUUUGAGCCCCGGAAACGUAGAAGUUUCGAAUUCAAAGUCAUUUAGUACUACGUGAAGGGAAGACAUACUGUUGAUUGUAAAGAGUCUCUGAAAGCUCAGUUACCUAAUAUAUUUUCAAUGAAAUUCCUUUAUUCACACUUUUCUAUGAUACCCUGAAAAAAGCACAACAGGGCCAAACUUCAAGCCUUAUUUUCUACUGUCUGUAUAACUAUAUAUAUAAGUAUCUUUAGAGCUAUGAAUUAGGGCCAUAUAUAAACACAUAUUUCAAACAAAACUAUAAUGAAAUACAUGCUCUAUAUAGUAAGCAUUUUAUACUCAGCUUGUUCAAAUCAAAACUGUACCAUAUUUAACUUUUUAACAUCAUUAGACAUAGUACUUGGACGGUUAUAGUUAACUCUUCGUACUUGGUGAUACGUGAAACAAAAAUUCUAAUAAGCUUAACUGCGAAAAAGUAUCUUUGCCGGUUUCUUGGAAAGAAAAUCGGCUCUCUCCACAUUUGAAGGAAUAAAUUUUUUAACAAACCAAGUAUAUAUUUUUAAACUCUACCUGAUGAGAUACUGCUAUCAAAUGACUCACUCCCUUUGCUCAAAUAAAGAUACACUCGCGUGCUUUGAAUCCUCACAAAAUAGUGUUUCGAAUAUUCUGUUAGAGGUAUGUUCUUUGUAAUCCAAUUUUGCCAGUGAAAACUAAAAUUGUACUUACGUAACUUGUGUAGUAAUUACAAAACUUGUGUCCAAUCCUUAUACUCGUUUUUAAUGGUUUUAUUUCUUUUUUGCUAUUCAUUGUAUUGCUAAAAAUAAAGAGUGCAUAUCCAGAUCGAUAUUACAGCGCACAUACGCACACAAAACAAUCUACAUGUACAGAAAAACCUAUUAAAAGUUUUACGCUGAUUUAUUCUAGAACGAAAUAGGAAAAAUUAGCAAGAGCUACUCUUUAAAUGAGAUGCAAAUUAAGUAACAUUAAUUAAGUAACAGUGAAUUACUUUCUAUAGUUCACAUUAUGCAUAGCAAUCAUUUUGCGCAUAUUUUCAAAUGUUAUUCUGGAAAGUAGAGAAAGGCUAUUUGUAGAUAAAUCCAGCACACCAAAGUAACAUACAUGGGCAUUAAGAAUCAUGCUAAAGUCGUAAUGUAACGUCUAAAUAUGAAUCUUUAUAUUAUGCUGCAGUAAACAUAUUCGAAAUUACACAAACAUACAUAUAUUUAUAUAUAUACUUCUGUCGUUGAGAAAACAGUCUUUUAUGCAAACUUUCGGCUGAGUUAAAAUUAAUAAUUUUAAGUAACUUUUAUGUCUUAUGAUAUUUUAUACUAACCAGAUGUUUUUCACCGGUUUUAAGAAUAUUGGGUUUAAUAAUAAGAAAGGAAUAGAAGGAGUCGAAUUCUUGUCUUAUUAUUAAUGCGUUUAUAUUCUGUCAUUCCGCUGAAAUCAGAUUAUUAUAUAUUUUCAUUUUUAUACGUAACAAGGCACUUUGGAUUAUGAAAUGCAUAUCAUAUUAAUUUUAUUUUGAUUCUCACAAAGAUUUGCCCAUGGCUCGUAAUUUUUACACAAUUUAAAUAACAAUGCAUCUUAAGUAAUUUAUUUAAAUAAUUAGCGCAUUUUAUAUAUCGAUUUAAAUUGAGUUCUCAAACAUCGAUUUAAUCUUAUUUCAAAUGAAUUCGUGUUCAUCACAGAAUUUGUUCACAUCAUGCGAAUUUCUAGAACCGAUUAGAAUAUAUAUCAACAAUCCUGAAGUUAUUUCCAUUUAGAUUGAACAAACAGAGAGAAAAAUGUCAAGGAGAGCAUUUCCAUUUCAUUUUAAGGUUUUGAUUAAUAAAAGUAAGAAUUUCUCCUAAAUUAAUUUGUAAACUGAAAUUAUCUCAUUGAAUCUCUUUUGAAUUGGAAAAAUAGCAAUCAACAUAAAUUGGGUAUUUAUAAGCACAUUAAAGGAGAAAGUAAAUGAUUACUACUUAAAGCCAAAAACAGUAGUUAUUCUACUAAUAUACAGAAUAUUUUCUUUAUUGACAAUUUUCAAAAGAAUGAAUGUAAUUAUUAAAUUUAUUAAUUCAGAUUUUAAGUUCAACAAUUCAGGAUACUGUUAAAUAGUUCAUAAAAUAUACUAAAUAAUACAGAGAUAGUUGAGCUAUUAAUGGCUCAAAUACAAUUUGCUCAGAGUUCAAAGGAAGCAAAUCAAAAAGUAAAUCAUCAAUACUUUUUCUUAGAGUAAAAUAAUAAACUGUUCUUUUUUUCCCAUAAAAAUGUUUCGUUUGCUUGUUUGUUUUUUCCUUUUUUCGCUAAAGUACCGCAUUUUGUUUUUUGUGAUUUAAAUUUCAAAACUGAUUAAAACUUCUAUUUAACUGUUUUUUUAAAUUUUUAUCCAUUUAUACAUUUCUUAUAAUUAACGAUAUAAUUAAAAUGUGAAUAUAAACCUAACGAGUAUUGAAAUUAUAAUUGCUAACACGAAAAAUAUGAAAUAUACUUUUAUUUCCAUCUUUAUCCGCUGGGUCAGAAUUAAAACGGUUGUCAAUUGAGGGACAAAAUGGCUUAAUAAGUUAAAAAACUCUAAACAAGAUACCCAAGAUUCUUUGUAAUAUUCGAAUAUGAGAAACAGAACCUUUCCAACAGCCAAACAAAGGCACAAGUUUGAUAGAUAUGAUAAAUUUUGUUUACGGUGAUUAGUUUGUUGAAAGAAACUAAUAAUUCUUGUAAAUAUUACUGUGCAACCGUGUCUAUAAUUCCAAAAUUAAAUUUUAUAUCUCCAUUCUGAGAAGAAAGUUUGAUUAAUUGAAUUAUUACUUUCAAGCCUUUAUAGGUAUGUCUUAUUUAAUCUGGAGUCAAUUUCUGUAGAAAAUGAAUCUGGUGAAAAUGUUUCUUCAAGGAAACAUUUAUUUUGAUUUAAAAUAUAAAACAUUAUAUAGAACUUUAUAUAUAAUAUAGAACUGAUUUAAAAUAUAGAUAUCCUACUUUUAUAUAAAAAAAAAUUACAGGAGAAGCUAAAGUGAAAAUUCAAACCCAGAAUUCCAAAGUUGAACGUUAACAAUGCUAUUUGAGGAAAGUAUCUUUACUUUCGUAAGGUAGCAUUUUACAAAGGCAAAUACGAAAGAUAACUGUGCUUAAAUAUUUACUCAUAAUUAAUUUUCCAUCAUUACAAUCAUUAUUCAAAGUACAAUUUCCAUUUUAGUAAAUAGUAAAGAAAUAUACACUAUUAAUUUUGCAUAUAAAAAUCCAAAUAACAUUCUGACUUAAUGCAAGUGCUAGAUUAUUAACAAAACAUUCAUCAGCUUACUUUACAGAAACAUUGAAGUGUAACCUUUAUCAAAGAAGGCUUGGGCAAAUUUUUGUGUUGUUGUUUUGAAUAUGGUUUUCUGUAUUAAUCCUGAUAUUUACAAUUAUAUUUCUUGCACUUACAAUGUAAUCAAUUGCAAAUGAAAGCAUUUAUUCUUUUCUCUUAUAUGAAAAUGAUGGAGGCGCAUAGAAUGAUUAGCAAUCAAAGAAGAGGAUUAUUUAUAAAAAAUUUUCUGUGAUAUGCCACUAAAUAAUUUGUUACAGUCAUUGUUUUUCUUUUUGUGUUUAUAGUUAUUUGACAGAAUUUACGUCUGGCAUGCGCCAACGGAUUGUUAUGUAAACUUUUAGCAGCUACACGUUUUAUCUCUGUACCAAAAUGUUUUGGUUGAAUCAUAGUGAACGUUUAGCUGGAACAAAAAAUAAAAGAUUAGCUCCAUUUAA
rnacentral:lncRNA from 1 species